GACAAAAGCAUGGAUUAAUUUUUCUGCAUAAUUUUUGCAAUGUUACGUAGAUGGAAAAAAGCUGUCCUUGAAACAGUCUUGAUAUGUUCGUCAAAAGAGAGAUCAGGGUCCAGAGUAACACCGAGGUCCUUCACAGUUUUAUUUGAGACGACUGUACAACCAUCAAGAUUCAUUGUCAGAUUCAACAGAAGAUCUCUUUGUUUCUUGGGACCUAGAACAAGCAUCUCUGUUUUGUCCGAGUUUAAAAGUAGAAAGUUUGCAGCCAUCCACUUCCUUAUGUCUGAAACACAGGCUUCCAGGGAGGGCAAUUUUGGGGCUUCACCAUGUUUCAUCGAAAUGUACAGCUGUGUGUCAUCCGCAUAGCAGUGAAAGUUAAAAUUAUGUUUCCGAAUGCAAUUGUCAAACGCAAUUGUUUCCAACAGUUUUCUAAGAGCUGGCAGCAAGCUGAUAGUUCUGUUGUUAGAACCAGUAAAGGCCGCUUUACCACUCUUGUGUAGCGGAAUGACUUUGGCUUCCCUCCAGGCCUGAAGACAGACUUUCCUCUAGGCUCAGAUUAAAGAUAUGACAGAUGUGAGGAAUGGCUAUAGAGUCAGCUGCCAUCCUCAGUAGCUUUCCAUCUGCACUGAACAAAAAUAUAAAUGCAACAUGUAAAGUGUUGUUUUCAUGAGCUGAAACUAGGGACACAGUUUUGUCACACAACAUCACAGAUGUCUCAAGUUUUGAGGGAGCGUACAAUUGGCAUGCUGAAUGCAGGAAUGUCCACCAGAGCUGUUGCCAGAGAAUUUAAUGUUAAUUUCACUACCAUAAGCUGGCUCCAAUGUUGUUUUAGAGAAUUUGGUAGUAUGUUCAACCGGCAUUACAAUGGCAGACCAUGUGUAACCACACCAUCCCAGGACCUCCACAUCCGGUUUCUUCACCUGCAGGAUUGUCUGAGGGGGGGAACUCAGUAAAAUCUUUGAAAUUGUUGCAUGUUGCAUUUAUAUUUUGGUUCAGUAUAAAUAGCCUACCUACAACUGGUAAAAAAGUUGUUUCCGUGACUUAGCUGCAACACUCUCAACCAGUGCUCUCAACGCACACACACUCACCCAUUCACUCAGCAACAGCCUGCUCACUGCCUGAUAGUCAGCAGGAUGUAACAGUGAAAUAUACAGUACCAGUCAAAAGAAUCUCAAAUAUAAAAUAUAUUUUGAUUUGUUUAACACUUUUUGUUACUACAUGAUUCCAUAUGUGUUAUUUCAUAGUUUUGACGUCUUCACUAUUAUUCUACGAUGUAGAAAAUAGUAAAAAUAAAGAAAAAACCCUUGAAUGACUAGGUGUGUCCAAACUUUUGAAUGGUACUGUAUAUUUUGCAUAAACACUCCACCCUUAGGAUUGUUCAGCAUGUCAACAACCAUUUCAACAGUAACAUCUGUUAACCCCAAUAUCUCUUUUGCCAUUUCCACAAUAACCUUCAACCUGGCAAUUAUGCUUUCCACAACCCGAGUCGUAUUGAUAACCUUACUAAUAUAAGCUAUGAUGUCAAAUUUAUUCAAUAAUACAGUGUCCUUUGACACCAAACAUUCAUGAACAAGAUUUCUGAACAGGCCUUGAAACCAUGACAUCAGAAGCAUCAGCCCUGACAGCAGGUUCACUUACUACAGGUACAUCCAUGUCAGAUCCAUCAGCCUAACAGUAGGUCCACUAACUACAGGUACAUCCAUGUCAGAUCCAUCAGUCUGACAGUAGGUCCACUUACUACAGGUACAUCCAUGUCAGAUCCAUCAGCCUAACAGUAGGUCCACUAACUACAGGUACAUCCAUGUCAGAUCCAUCAGUCUGACAGUAGGUCCACUUACUACAGGUACAUCCAUGUCAGAUCCAUCAGCCUAACAGUAGGUCCACUAACUACAGGUACAUCCAUGUCAGCUCCAUCAGCCUGACAGCAGGUCCACUAACUACAGGUACAUCCAUGUCAGAUCCAUCAGUCUGACAGCA
rnacentral:lncRNA from 1 species